AUACGGAGGGUGCAAGCGUUACUCGGAAUCACUGGGCGUAAAGCGCGCGCAGGCGGCUAUUUAAGUUGGAUGUGAAAGCCUAUGGCUCAACCAUAGAACUGCAUCCAAAACUAUUUAGCUAGAGUGUGGGAGAGGAAGAUGGAAUUAGUUGUGUAGGGGUAAAAUCCGUAAAGAUAACUAGGAAUACCAAAAGCGAAGGCAAUCUUCUGGAACACUACUGACGCUGAGGCGCGAAAGCGUGGGGAGCAAACGGGAUUAGAAACCCUAGUAGUCC
rnacentral:rRNA from 1 species